rnacentral:rRNA from 1 species
GGGUUAGUAACGCGUGGGAAUAUACCCUUCACUAUGGAAUAGCCUCGGGAAACUGAGAGUAAUACCAUAUACGCCCUUCGGGGGAAAGAUUUAUCGGUGAAGGAUUAGCCCGCGUAAGAUUAGAUAGUUGGUGGGGUAAUGGCCUACCAAGUCUACGAUCUUUAGCUGGUUUUAGAGGAUGAUCAGCAACACUGGGACUGAGACACGGCCCAGACUCCUACGGGAGGCAGCAGUGGGGAAUCUUGGACAAUGGGCGAAAGCCUGAUCUAGCCAUGCCGCGUGAGUGAUGAAGGUCUUAGGAUCGUAAAGCUCUUUCGCUAGGGAUGAUAAUGACAGUAUCUGGUAAAGAAACCCCGGCUAACUCCGUGCCAGCAGCCGCGGUAAUACGGAGGGGGUUAGCGUUGUUCGGAAUUACUGGGCGUAAAGCGCACGUAGGCGGAUUAGUAAGUUAAGGGUGAAAUCCCAGGGCUCAACCCUGGAACUGCCUUUAAUACUGCUAGUCUUGAGUUCGAGAGAGGUAAGUGGAAUUCCAAGUGUAGAGGUGAAAUUCGUAGAUAUUUGGAGGAACACCAGUGGCGAAGGCGGCUUACUGGCUCGAAACUGACGCUGAGGUGCGAAAGUGUGGGGAGCAAACAGGAUUAGAUACCCUGGUAGUCCACACCGUAAACGAUGAAUGCCAGACGUCAGCAAGUAUACUUUGG